rnacentral:rRNA from 1 species
UACGGGGGGGGUAAGCGUUGUUCGGAAUUACUGGGCGUAAAGAGCGCGCAGGCGGCUGGUCAAGUCCGAUGUGAAAGCUCCCGGCUUAACUGGGAAACGGCAUCGGAAACUGAUCGGCUUGAAGGUGGGAGAGGGUAGUGGAAUUCCCGGUGUAGUGGUGAAAUGCGUAGAUAUCGGGAGGAACACCAGUGGCGAAGGCGACUACCUGGCCCACUCUUGACGCUGAGGCGCGAAAGCUAGGGGAGCAAACGGG